rnacentral:rRNA from 1 species
AUUGAACGCUAGCGGGAUGCCUUACACAUGCAAGUCGAACGGAGUGGCGAACGGGUGAGUAAUGUAUCGGAACGUGCCCAGUCGCGGGGGAUAACUACGCGAAAGCGUAGCUAAUACCGCAUACUAUUGGAGCUGCCGAUAUCGGAUUAGCUAGUUGGUGGGGUAACGGCUCACCAAGGCGACGAUCCGGAGCUGGUUUGAGCGGACGACCAGCCACACUGGGACUGAGCAACGGCCCAUAGUCCUGAGGGAGGAAGCAGUGGGGAAUUUUGGACAAUGGGGGAAGCCCUGAUCCAGCCAUCCCGCGUGUGCGAUGAGGGCCUGCGGGUUGUAAAGCACUUUUGGCAGGAAAGCGGUACCUGCAGAAUAAGCACCGGCUAACUACGUGCCAGCCGCCGCGGUAAUAC